rnacentral:piRNA from 1 species
GAAGUCGUUUUAUAGGUCUCUUUGGGU